rnacentral:rRNA from 1 species
GAUGAACGCUAGCGGCAGGCUUAAUACAUGCAAGUCGAGGGGCAGCAUGGUGUAGCAAUACACUGAUGGCGACCGGCAAACGGGUGCGGAACACGUACAGAACCUUCCUUCGAGCGGGGAAUAGCCCAGAGAAAUUUGGAUUAAUACCCCAUAGUAUAUUGGAGUGGCAUCACUUUAGUAUUAAAGAUUUAUCACUUGAAGAUGGCUGUGCGGCUGAUUAGGUAGUUGGCGGGGUAACGGCCCACCAAGCCUGCGAUCAGUAACUGGUGUGAGAGCACGACCAGUCACACGGGCACUGAGACACGGGCCCGACUCCUACGGGAGGCAGCAGUAAGGAAUAUUGGUCAAUGGACGAAAGUCUGAACCAGCCAUGCCGCGUGGAGGAUGAAGGUCCUCUGGAUUGUAAACUUCUUUUAUAUGGGACGAAAAAAGGGCUUUCUAGCUCGUCUGACGGUACCAUAUGAAUAAGCACCGGCUAACUCCGUGCCAGCAGCCGACGG